rnacentral:rRNA from 1 species
AACGAACGCUGGCGGCAGGCCUAACACAUGCAAGUCGAGCGAAGCCUUCGGGCUUAGCGGCGGACGGGUGAGUAACGCGUGGGAACGUGCCCUUUGGUACGGAAUAGCCCCGGGAAACUGGGAGUAAUACCGUAUGUGGUCGAGAGACGAAAGAUUUAUCGCCAAAGGAUCGGCCCGCGUUGGAUUAGGUAGUUGGUGGGGUAAUGGCCUACCAAGCCGACGAUCCAUAGCUGGUUUGAGAGGAUGAUCAGCCACACUGGGACUGAGACACGGCCCAGACUCCUACGGGAGGCAGCAGUGGGGAAUCUUGGACAAUGGGGGAAACCCUGAUCUAGCCAUGCCGCGUGAUCGAUGAAGGCCUUAGGGUUGUAAAGAUCUCUCAGUGGGGAAGAUAAUGACUGUACCCACAGAAGAAGCACCGGCUAACUACGUGCCAGCCGCCGCGGUAAAAC